CCUACGGGCGGCUGCAGUGGGGAAUAUUGGACAAUGGGGGCAACCCUGAUCCAGCCAUGCCGCGUGUGUGAAGAAGGCCCUCGGGUUGUAAAGCACUUUCAGUGAGGAAGAACGCCUGGUGGUUAAUACCCAUCAGGAAAGACAUCACUCACAGAAGAAGCACCGGCUAACUCCGUGCCAGCAGCCGCGGUAAUACGGAGGGUGCGAGCGUUAAUCGGAAUUACUGGGCGUAAAGCGCGCGUAGGUGGCUUGAUAAGCCGGUUGUGAAAGCCCCGGGCUCAACCUGGGAACGGCAUCCGGAACUGUCAAGCUAGAGUGCAGGAGAGGAAGGUAGAAUUCCCGGUGUAGCGGUGAAAUGCGUAGAGAUCGGGAGGAAUACCAGUGGCGAAGGCGGCCUUCUGGACUGACACUGACACUGAGGUGCGAAAGCGUGGGUAGCAAACAGGAUUAGAUACCCUAGUAGUC
rnacentral:rRNA from 1 species